rnacentral:rRNA from 1 species
GAAAGGCGCUUUUGCGUCACUGAUGGAUGGACCCGCGGUGCAUUAGCUAGUUGGUGAGGUAACGGCUCACCAAGGCCACGAUGCAUAGCCGACCUGAGAGGGUGAUCGGCCACACUGGGACUGAGACACGGCCCAGACUCCUACGGGAGGCAGCAGUAGGGAAUCUUCGGCAAUGGACGAAAGUCUGACCGAGCAACGCCGCGUGAGUGAAGAAGGUUUUCGGAUCGUAAAACUCUGUUGUUAGAGAAGAACAAGGAUGAGAGUAAACGUUCAUCCCUUGACGGUAUCUAACCAGAAAGCCACGGCUAACUACGUGCCAGCAGCCGCGGUAAUACGUAGGUGGCAAGCGUUGUCCGGAUUUAUUGGGCGUAAAGCGAGCGCAGGCGGUUUCUUAAGUCUGAUGUGAAAGCCCCCGGCUCAACCGGGGAGGGUCAUUGGAAACUGGGAGACUUGAGUGCAGAAGAGGAGAGUGGAAUUCCAUGUGUAGCGGUGAAAUGCGUAGAUAUAUGGAGGAACACCAGUGGCGAAGGCGGCUCUCUGGUCUGUAACUGACGCUGAGGCUCGAAAGCGUGGGGAGCGAACAGGAUUAGAUACCCUGGUAGUCCACGCCGUAAACGAUGAGUGCUAAGUGUUGGAGGGUUUCCGCCCUUCA